UGACUAUUCAUCUCUAUUUCUGUAUAUUUGUCUAUAUUUACAAAAGAAUGAAUGAAAAUAAUAUGUAUAGAACUCUCUAGAAUAUAUACAAUAUUUGCCCCAAAAUAAAUACAACUGUGUAUCAUUGUGUAUGAGCCUGUUGCUUGGGCUGCUUGGGCUGGUCCAGUACUUGGGCUGCAGACUCUUUAACUCCAACAUUUCUUGAGCCAUAAAUCAGUACGACAAAACAGGUAAUUUGCAUAUACUGACAUCGUGAGCAGAAUCAGCAACCAACAAGGUACAAAGAGAGAGAGUAUCAGAUAUUAGGCAGUAGAACUAAAAGAGAAAGCCAUCUUUCAAAAUUUCAUAUAAACUAAAGACCACUCUAACACUUUCAGGAAUAUGAGUUACACUUGUCUAUUCAUAUAAACAUGACUAUAGUUAUUUCCUAACAUCUUAACUAUGAAUGACUCUAUAAAUAUUAAAUUUCACAACAAUCACUUGAGUAAAAUGCCAUAAAUGAAUGGGGACUAACACAAAACACAAUUAUUGUUAAUUCCAACUAAACACAUUUGUUUUGCUAUACAAUGAAUCAUCGUAGGUCUAUUUUCUUGUAGUGUCACUAUCAAAAUGCAUGAUGUAGGAGUUAAUAGUUAACUCCUUGCAUCAAAGUUAAAACUAAAAUUUUAAAUUUAUACAAAUGAAACCCAACCAUUUAGUAAUUGGCAAACAAGGUAACAUGAAGAAUGAGACAAGUCCUAUGAUUUAUAUAAAGAUAUAUUUUUCAUAAAUAUAUAUCUAAAAAAAGAUAUAUAGAUAUACCUGUCGCAGCAAGGACAAAACUAAAAAACAAAAGUCAAGAUGGAUGAUGAGCCAGUAGUGCCAACCUUCCUUCAGUUAUCAACCUUUAUACUCUUUAAUCUUCUACAAAAUCAAGAUGACUUGUAU
rnacentral:lncRNA from 1 species